rnacentral:rRNA from 1 species
AGCGUGGAGACAGGUGGUGCAUGGCUGUCGUCAGCUCGUGUCGUGAGAUGUUGGGUUAAGUCCCGCAACGAGCGCAACCCUCACCCCUUGUUGCCAACAGGUCAGGCUGGGCACUCUAGGGGAACUGCCCCGGUCAACGGGGAGGAAGGUGGGGAUGACGUCAAGUCAUCAUGCCCCUUACGUCCUGGGCUACACACGUGCUACAAUGGCCGGUACAAAGGGAUGCAAGACCGCGAGGUGGAGCUAAACCCAAAAAGCCGGUCUAAGUUCAGAUUGGAGUCUGCAACUCGACUCCAUGAAGGAGGAAUCGCUAGUAAUCGCGCAUCAGCACGGCGCGGUGAAUACGUUCCCGGGCCUUGUACUCACCGCCCGUCACACCACGAAAGCCAGCUGUACUCGAAGUCGCUGAG